rnacentral:rRNA from 1 species
AACGAACGCUGGCGGCAGGCUUAACACAUGCAAGUCGAACGCAUCGCAAGAUGAGUGGCAGACGGGUGAGUAACGCGUGGGAAUCUACCGUACCCUACGGAAUAGCUCCGGGAAACUGGAAUUAAUACCGUAUACGCCCUUCGGGGGAAAGAUUUAUCGGGGUAUGAUGAGCCCGCGUUGGAUUAGCUAGUUGGUGGGGUAAAGGCCUACCAAGGCGACGAUCCAUAGCUGGUCUGAGAGGAUGAUCAGCCACAUUGGGACUGAGACACGGCCCAAACUCCUACGGGAGGCAGCAGUGGGGAAUAUUGGACAAUGGGCGCAAGCCUGAUCCAGCCAUGCCGCGUGAGUGAUGAAGGUCUUAGGAUUGUAAAGCUCUUUCACCGAUGAAGAUAAUGACGGUAGUCGGGGAAGAAGCCCCGGCUAACUUCGUGCCAGCAGCCGCCGUAAUAC